AUUGGUUUGACGCCCUGCGCCCCGGAAGUCGUUCCCCUUUACCGAUCGGGGUUCUGACGGAGAGGGAGAGGCUUGCUCCGACAUCUGGAACCAAGAGUCACAAUCCUAACACCUGUCAGUAGCCGGAGGACGUCUGAUUACCUUUUAGGAAAACAGCUUGAACCAAACUGAGCUGGACGCAGCUAACAUCCACUACCGCAUCUGCCGAUGUUUGCGGGCGUCUGAUUGAUCGACGCCAUGCCAGGAGGCCGGUAUCAUCUUCCUUCUCUCCGAGCGGCCCUGAGGGAGAGGACGCCUGUCUGAGAGGAUGGGGAGGUGUCUGCGGCUCGGGGGCUUCACCACACGUCACUGUGCUGUGGUGCUGCAAAUCCAGCGGGGGCUAUGAGGUCUUCGUCCUGCGAGCUAUCUCUGUUCUACACAAGCCUUUCCCACGGAGAUAUCCACGACCAGCCGACAGCAGCGUUGGCUUCACCUGCAGCCACACAGAAGCCCCAUAAUGUGUUUGAUACAAGGUGUAAGGCACAAGGGUAAUUUGUCCGUGACAGGCGCUGUGUAAUUCGGUUGGAAUGGGAAGGAGGGGGGGGGAAGGUUUUGUGGUUUGUUAUGCUGUCAAUUGCUCCCUCGGUAUUCAGUGGAAUUCAAUGAAGCGUUUGAAAGCAUUUUGUUUUUCAUCUGGAAACAUCCAUGUGUCACAAGCCGGUGCAGUGGUUUCCUGUCGAGAACGUUCCACAGACGCAGGGAAAUUGAACUUUCACCGGUGGUGUAGUGCAUUUACUCUAUAUGUUAUCCCUAUGGAAUGAUCGCCAAGCGCAA
ensembl:lncRNA